GUCCACGCCGUAAACUAUGGAUGCUAGCUGUUAUGAGUAUCGACCCUCGUAGUAGCGAAGCUAACGCGUUAAGCAUCCCGCCCUGUGGAGUACGAGCGCAAGCUUAAAACAAUAAAGGAAAUUGACGGGGACCCCGGCCACAAGCGGUGGAGCGUGUUGUUUUAAUUUCGAUGCUAAGCGAAGAACCUUACCCACGGCUUGACAUCCUUGGAAUUUCUUCCGAAAGGAAGAGAGUGCUUUAUUUGAGCCAAGUGACAGGUGCUGCAUGGCCGUCGU
rnacentral:rRNA from 1 species